UAUAAAUAAAUUAAAAAAUCAAAUUAAUAAAAAUAAUUUUUAAUAUUUAUAUAUAUAUAUAUAUGAUUUAAUGGGGGUUAAAUUAUAUUUUAUAGAAAAAAUUUAUUUUUUUAUAGUUUAUUAAGUAUUGUGAAAGAAUUUUGAAAUAAUAUUGAAAAUUUAAUAAAAAAAAAGUAAUUUUAAUUUAUUGUAUCUUGUGUAUCAGAGUUUAUCUAAAAAUUAUAUUAUAUAAUAUUUUCUCGAAUUAAAAAAAGUUAAUUAGUUAAAAAAUUUAUUGUUAAAAAAAUAUUUUUAAUAGCUAAUUUGAAAUGAAAUGUUAUCGUUUUUUAAUAUAUCUAGUUUUUUUAGAAAAAAAUUUAAUUUUAAAUCUUAUUUAUUAUUAGUUAUAAUUUAUUUUAAUUAAUAAAAUUUGAUUUUUAUAUAUUAAGGGAUAAACUUUAAUAUAAAUUUUUAUAUUGUUAGUUAGUUUAUUUUGUUAUUUAAAAUUUGUAAAAUUUAAAUUUUUUAUUAAUUAUAUUUUAUUAUAAAUAAUUUUAAUUAAAGAAAAAUUUUAAAAAAAAUUAAUUUUUUAUAAAAAAUUAAUUUAUAAUAAUAUUUAUUUAAAUAUAAUGAUAAAAUUAGUAUAUAAUUAUAAAUAUAUAUAUAUAUAUAUAUAUAUAUAUAUAAUUUAAAUAUAAUUUUUUUAAAAAAAUUAGUAAAAGGAAUUCGACAAAAAUUUAUUUUUACCUGUUUAACAAAAACAUGUCUUUUUGAUGUUAAUUUAAAGUCUAAUCUGCCCACUGAAAAUUAUUUUUAAAGGGCUGCAGUAUAUUGACUGUACAAAGGUAGCAUAAUCAUUAGUCUCUUAAUUGGUGACUGGUAUGAAUGAUUGGAUAAGAAAUAUAUUGUCUCUUAUUAAUUUAUAAAACUUAAUUUUUUAUUUAAAAAGAUAAAAUAAAUUUAAAAGACGAGAAGACCCUAUAGAGUUUUAUAUAAAUUUAUAUUAAAAUUAUUUAUAAAAAUUUAAUUAAAAUAUAAUUUUAUAUUUUGUUGGGGUGAUAGAAAAAUUAAAAUAACUUUUUUUAUUUAAUAACAUAGAUAAAUGAUUAUUUGAUCCAAUAUUAUUGAUUAUAAGAUUAAAUUACCUUAGGGAUAACAGCGUUAUUUUUUUUUUUAGUUCAAAUAAAAAAAAAAGUUUGCGACCUCGAUGUUGGAUUAAGAUAAAAUUUAAAUGCAAAAGUUUAAAUAUUUUGAUCUGUUCGAUCAUUAAAAUCUUACAUGAUCUGAGUUCAAACCGGUGUAAGCCAGGUUGGUUUCUAUCUUUAGAUUUUAUUUAUAUUAUAGUACGAAAGGAUUUAAUAUAAAAAAUAAUUUUAUUAUAAGAAUAUCACUAAUUAUAAAUUAAAUUAA
rnacentral:rRNA from 1 species